AUGGCGGCAUCAUGGCGCGAACAGAGAUUCGUGGCACCAUCGCGUCGGUGCGUCACGCCCACGCGCGCCUCGGAGCCGACGGGCCGCGCACGGCACGGCGCACCGCCGUACCGUCCCUCCCAUCCCGCCGCGCUGCGCACGCUGGGGCUGGCUGCCUCGUCCCGUGCCGACGUGCCGUGCCAGGAGGCCGGAGCAACGGGCUCGACGCGCUCCUGCCAGGCCCGGCCCCGAUCGUGGGUGCCACUGCUGAGACGGCGCCGUGAGUGGGAAUUUCGCUUGCGCUUAUCGCCUCGGGCUCGGGGCGGCCUGGCUGCCACGGUGAGGUUCCUGUACGUGCCGAGGGGAGGGAGACCCGUCGCUGUGCGCAACCACCGCACGACCGCUGCUGGUCCACGGGGUGGGCUGCACGAGCGCCUGGGGCCCGGCCGGCGACCGGGGCGCCCCGUCGCGAGGGGAUGCGCACGACACGCCACCGCGCGCGUCGUCUCACGGGAGUAA
rnacentral:rRNA from 1 species